CCCAGGAAUUUUGUCAAGUAGCUGAAGGAUGUCACUGACAUCAGAUGGAGCUUGUAGAGUUUUUACUGUGAGAUCCAGAGUGGACUGUAACUCAGUGUCAUCUGGAGUGAACACACACUGAACACAGUCUAAACACAGUCUGAACACACACUGCUCCUCCAGGCUACUAGGGGAAUCAGGCUCUGCUGAGGAGGUUCUUGUUGGAGCAGGACACUGUUGUGACGUCUGUACAUCAUGACCACCUUCAUUAGGUCUAGUUUUCAGUUACACAAGAAAAAAAAAAACACUAAACAAACUUUACUGUAAGCAGAAAUGUGCAGAAAUGCUGAAAUCUAGUGGACGUCUGCAGGAAGCUCCAUAAACACACAUUACUCCAUAGAUCAUCUCACCAGAAGACCUCACACUGAAACUGUUCAGAGAAAUGAUGGAGAAAUAUAUAAUGACUAAGUCACUAACACGUGUGUGUGUGUGUGUGUGUGUGUGUGUGUGUGUGUGUGUGUGUGUGUGUGUGUGUGUGUGUGUGUGUGUGUGUGAUCUGCUUCCUCCUUUAAACAUGAUGUAUAUUUUCUUGUUGUGUUUUAAACUGUGUUUUGUGUUUGGUUUCUGUUGGAGAUUCCAGAAAAGAACAAAAGCUUCCUAAGAAUAUUUUUACUGAAGAAGAACAAACAUAAAACCUUCUUUUCCUACAGGAUAUGAUGUAAUCUUUACCCACAUGUCCCCUGUGACAGGAUCUAUCUUACCUCAAGUUAUUUCUGCUGCAUGUUGAAUCAAAGGGGAAACACACACUAAUGUUUCCAGACAUGUUUACACACACACACACACACACACACACACACACACACACACACACACACACAGAGACAGACUGUAAAACAUCACUGACAGUACUGAGGAUUCCUAGAGACUCUUCAGAAUAAUGCCAUCACACACUUCCCAGGUCUCAGGGGGAUUAGUGGUGUGUAAGAGGAGAAGGGAAGCAGAAGGUUUCUCCACAUCUUCUCUCCUCUUACCUCCUGUUUAGAUCUGAAUUAUAUACACAUCAUUUGUUCUUUUUUCUUCAAGGUGCUGACAAGCUUCUAAACAACAAACUACAGAUGACUCGUCAGAUUUAAACUACAGACGACUCUUUAUUCUGUUCAUCAAAUUCAUCUGUAGUUUUAUUUAAACAUCUGAACUGUUGAAGUCGUAUUUGAUUCAUUUCACUGCUGUGUGAAGGGAACAAACAUGUUUUCAUAAAAAAGAGAGAAACUUUUAAACACAUACAAAACUGUAACAGGGCCUCUGUCCUGUGGGGAAUAAGGAGGGAAUCAGUAGGACAGACAGACACACAGACAGACAGUGUGUGUGUGUGUGUGUGUGUGUGUGUGUGUGUGUGUGUGUGUGUGUGUGUGUGUGUGUGUGUGUGU